rnacentral:rRNA from 1 species
AUUGAACGCUGGCGGCAGGCCUAACACAUGCAAGUCGAGCGAGCGGCGGACGGGUGAGUAAUGUAUGAGGACCUGCCCGAUAGAGGGGGAUAACUACUGGAAACGGUGGAUAAUACCGCAUACUAUCGGAUGAACCAAUAUAGGAUGAGCUAGUAGGUGGGGUAAAGGCUCACCUGGGCGACGAUCCCUAGCUGGUCUGAGAGGAUGAUCAGCAACACUGGGACUGAGACACGGCCCAGACUCCUACGGGAGGCAGCAGUGGGGAAUAUUGGACAAUGGGCGAAAGCCUGAUGCAGCCAGGCCGCGUGUGUGAAGAAGGCCUUAGGGUUGUAAAGUACUUUCAGCUGGGAGGCGUUACCCGCAGAAUAAGCACCGGCUAACUCCGUGCCAGCAGCCGCGGUAAUAC